UUCAGUAGCAACUUUGUUGUUUUCGAUCGCACUAGCAAUCAUAGAAUCAACUAUGUCAAGAUUAAUGCGCAUCUCAAACUGCCUGGCAACCUCUAAUAUAUCUACGCGACUCUUUAACAGUUGACUAGCACCCGUAGAAGUUGGAGAGCAAACUACCCCGUCUUUAGAAGAGGUCGACGCAGGAGGUGAAACAGCUGCAGUAAUGUUACCAGGCUCAUAAUUCGAAGAAGGUUUAGCAAGCAUAACCUGAACAGGACCGUGAUUUUCGAAAACUGGACGAUUAUGCAAUGCGUCUCGUGCUACUAUCGCAGAACUCAAAGAUUCGUAGCUCACAAUAGCCGAAUUGUCCGGUGAAAGCAUCCAAAUA